GACGAACCGUGCGAACGUUAUUCGGAAUCACUGGGCUUAAAGGGCGCGUAGGCGGGCGGCCAAGUCAGAGGUGAAAGCCCCCAGCUCAACUGGGGAAGUGCCUUUGAUACUGGUCGUCUCGAGGGAGAUGAGGGGCGUGCGGAACUUCCGGUGGAGCGGUGAAAUGCGUAGAUAUCGGAAGGAACACCGGUGGCGAAAGCGGCGCGCUGGAUCUCUUCUGACGCUGAGGCGCGAAAGCCAGGGGAGCGAACGGG
rnacentral:rRNA from 1 species